CCAGAGACUGGCCCGAUAUGGAUUGAAUGAGAUCGAACUAUUGAUGAGUGGUGUGCCAAGCGCCGCCAAAUCGGUCAGCUGUUUCCUACCUGAAUGCCUUAUAUGGUGCGAAGCCGAACGGUGCGAUUCAGCUCAUCACACUUACACACCUCAAGGCGAGGAACCUAAUCUCGAACGAAGCGCGUUUUAUGUGUUGUGCAUAUUGACUAGACAUUAAACACCACCAGACAGCACAGCACAGCUCAGUUAGUUCAAAUGCUAAUGUUUUUGGUUCAGUUGCAAGGAUACAGUUUCCUGUACGCGAUUAAAUUCAAUUUCCAAAUUCUGAUAAUACCUUCAGUGCUCAGUAGGAAGAUGUACAACAACGUUACCCAAUUUCAAAAAGGGAGUGGAAAUAUAGGAGAAUUCAAUUACCAGUGCUGCACCGAAACGAUCCAAUAUCCACAUACUUUAUAAUCAUUCGUAACGAGACACUGUUGAAUAUUUGGUUCUCAUUUUGUGGCUAACAUCGAGCGGCGAGGGGGGGCUGGUUUCUUUCACAGCUCGAGAUAACACCAAAUACGAAAGUUUAAGCAUUGUCAUACAUAUUCAAAUUCCUGCCCGUGUCAUACCGUGGACAGGAAUGCGCAUUAAAGCGUGCAAGUGUACAUUGGUCUGACCCGCGUAUACAACCGUGUUGCCCCGCGUGUGUAAAUGUGUACAUGUGUCGGUUUGUGUAUGUGUGCGUAUGUAUGUGUGUAUGUUUCUUUUUCAACUCCACCAAACUAAUAAGCCCGAUAGAAUCCUUUCCCUGAAGGGUUGCGCUUUGAUGGAAUCUUAUGAAUCACUCAGCAUUCCAAAAUAACAUGUCAACCCUUUUCAUCCAACCGUUUCUAGAACAAUGAAGAGUGAGAAAAGUAACAAGAGGAAAAAUAAGUUAAACAUCCCCAACAUCACAGCGUUGCUGAUGUCGUUUUUUUCUGUGUCCUUUCUGAUAUUCAGCUUCUCGUGUUUUUUUUUUCUUCUCUGCUUUGAACAUCAAAACUGGCUCUCUAAUGUAAUGCUAGCCAAAACUCGUCGACAUCGGGAUUGGUUGGUUUUGCUUUCAACACUGGUGUAUCGUCUUUUUAAUUUGGUUUUGUGUUAUGUUUUAGCCAGGAGUUUUCCGAGUUACAGUUUCCAUUUAAUGAAUGACACCAUUGAAAGCGUUGAUAAAAUGAGAGUUUUGAAUUAAUUACUAAGUGGGAAGUUGAAACGGGGAUGGAAAGGGUUUUUUUUUCUCGCAAAAAUAAACAAUCGAUUCACUGGUAAUGAUUAACACAUUGUAAAAUAAUUAUAAACCAUGCGAAGAGAGGUUUACAAUCGUGGUCGUUUUGUUGAUAUGAUUUUUCAUUAAACUACAGCGCAAUUAGGUAAAUUAUUAUGUGUAAUUAGAAAUUCGCAUGAAAUUUGCUCAUACCAUUUAAUUUAUGCUGAAAUAAGGAGAAUGAAUUUAAAGCAAAUCUAUUCAGUAUAAAUAUUUUUAAACAAAUUAAAAACCCAAAUUAAUUAAUUUAACACAGUGAAAAAUUAAUUAAAUAGGACUAUUGAUUAUAAAAAUAUAUCAGGUAACAAUAGAUGGAGAUCAAAGGGAGUUGCUUAUAGGUUACAGUACUGAUGGUAGAUUUAAAAUGUAUAAUUAUGCUAUUUUUAGUUUUUAAUUGAUAAACUUUAACAUGGAUUUUUAAUAUCAUAUAUUCUGAAGCUAUUAAAUAUAACUAACACAAUUUAUUAGGAAAUAAGAACUUCAAAAUAAAAGACUUUAUGUGAAUAUUUGACGCUUGAAAUAUUACUCAAGCAAAGAUAAAACAAAAUUAUCACUUUUUGUAACAAACUACAACUCAUUACCCAACACCGUACAGCUUACAUGCAACAACUUACCUCACAUCAAAUAAAAUUCCAUGCAUUUUAGCGCAUUUUGGCGCGUACACUUCCAGCAUGAAACUAAUUAAGAGCCAGCCGAAAAAGGGAUCCAACGCCCCCCCAAAACACUAAAAACGGUCAAGCAAGCGUCACGAGUGACAGUGUCCCAACCCGCGGCCGGCACUGUGUACUGUAUAAAACGAUACUGUAAUAAUAAUGAAAUUCACAGUUCAUUUAUCACCAUGCCAACAAUAUCUACAUCAUGCAUGAUGACCAGUUUUGAAUACGCUUUAAAGAGUGUGCGGCUCGUGAAACAUAAUUUAUCGUCCCUACCGUGUCGGUCCGUCUCCCGACGAGAGAGACACCAUAACAACGAGACCCUGGGUUGCAUCCAGGGCAAAGAAUGGAUUACAGCCCACGUACUUCUGCGAUGUCCCCAUGGUUCGGUUGCAGGGGUCUCACAACGUGCGCUUUGGUACGCGCCUGUGCCCGUUAACUCGCGCCGUGUCCGUUCGCUUUAAUUAAAAUGAUAAUUUUAUUUUGUCGGUCAACCGUUGCAUGAUUCAUGCUGCGUAUCCUUGCAAGCGUCCACCCUUGUAGCGCUGUUUCCCAUACUACCCAUUAGCUACAUCGUUCUUUGCUAUGGGACAAGGUCAGGAACCGGUAGCUUUCGGGCAGAAGAAAGCUUCCAAACCAAAAAAAAGCGGCAACAAACGAAAACAACAACGUAGGGAAAAAAAAACUUAUACACCCAGUUCCGGUCGUUGCUAGUGGAUGUCGUGCUGUCAAAAUCACCGAAUCAAACAACAAGUCCGUGUUCCGGGCCUGUUGUGUCCCGGCGCUUGGAAGUGAACCGCGUCCGAAGGUGGCGAAAAAUGGUCCAACCACCACUCACCCAAAUCCAACACCUUACCGGAACGCAGCACACCAGCAAAAAAAGUAAAAAGGAUACGCAUGCGAAUGAAAAAAAAAACGCAGCCUAUCUGGUAUUCCGAUGAGAAUGGGUAGAUAGCCAUUUCUUUGGCACGUAGCUGUGUUUGUUUUUCUUUGGGGUUUGAUUUUUUUUUUUGUUUUGUUUCGGUUAGUGCCGUUGCUGUUGCCCUGUUGUGAUGGAAGACCUUAGCAAACGCAACCACAGGGACGAAAGAGCAAAACGGGACACACAAGGCAUUUACCGUAGCCCUGUCAGUCAAGCCGUUAAUUAAAAACAUAUUUCUAUGCCAGCUUGUUUUAGCAAUGCUCAUUUGGUGAAAAAGUAUUACCUUACCGUGGCACCAUCGUGAGUGAGGAUGAGGUGGUUGGGUUUUUCCAACCUUCCGCCCCAUUCCCUUCCCAAUAGCACUUCAUAUCCUUCGACGGCCCAACUCACCAGGCACAAACUCCAAGGGUUAAAACGAUCUUUUCACCUGUCAUCAUGGAGUGCGGUUUGUCGGUGAUACGAGAAGCUAGUGAGAAAACGUCCUCCUUCUCUUCUUCUCACAACCAUCCCACUUAGCCCUUUCAACAACGAAAAGUAUCCACCGGCAUCCGGCAAAGCGUCAGUGUUGAGAAGGUUAUUGAGCUAAGUAAAGUUUUACCCAAAAACUCACCCACCGGUUCCGGAAAGAAAAAUCUCCCUCCUCUGACACACACACACAAUGGGGUUCUUUUACAGCGUGAAUGGUAGUGAAUACUUUAUUUUGUACAAAAUUUAUUGUACCAUUGCGCCCCGUACGGCUUCACGGAUGAUGGAUGGAUGGAUGGAUGGAUGGUGUGUGCAUGGACCACCAUCGGGAGUUACGAAUGGAAUUUAACAACGGCAUAAUUUGAACUGAUAGAAUGUGCAUAUUUCAACAGCCCCAGUACCACCACGCACCAAGUAAAUAUUAUUUGAUUUUGUUAUUUAUGGUUCUGAAAGCUUCAGCUCGAACAACACGAGGUGGAAAUCUAGGCACCGGCAAAGCACAAACGAUCAGAUUCACUGUAUGUGUCCGUGUGGCCGUGUGUGAGUAAGUGUAAAUCAGUGCCGUUCCGGUGGGGCACAGGAUAGGCCUUUUAUUUAUGCAUUUGAUUUUCUUCAGCCGUAAUCGGGUUCAGAAGUGUGUAUGAAAAAUGUCUUCAUUCGGAAAAACAAACUGGUACUUAAGGGCGGAUAUGGUUUUAUUAGUGUCUUAUUUAUGUCUUGUUUAAGUAUCACAUGUUUUAUGAUCUAAAUGUUAUUGGAUAGUGUUUCGAAUGGUGCACUUAGUUUGCAGGAAGAUUAAGUUAUUUGAAUUAUCUUUCUCACAUUCACCUUACUAUAGUUGCAUUUUGUUGGGAGUUUUACUUCUUUUAUUCAACUUCACUCACCUGCUUAUAAGGCGCGACAACCCAAUCUUUCCCUGUUGGAGGAGUCCUCUAAAUUGCUCUCAGAGGAGCGCUGUCGCCUGCCAAUCCAAUAUUCCUUUCUGGUGGACACAUCUAUAAGGACUUCACAAGUCAUCUUCUAUAAAUUCUUAGUACAUAUCAUAGAACUCGUCAUUGCCUUUCCACACAUACAGGGCCAACAAUUCUUUUGAGUCACUUCCUAUCGAAUGCGGCUAAGAGUGUUUCGUCAGUUUUGGACCGAGUCCAUGUCUCAGAGACGUAUGUUAGUACUGAAGCUAUAAAGGAUCUAUAUAAUCUCAGCUUCGAUCAUUGCGACAGGUGUUUUGAGUGAGUCUGAGUUUCCUCAGACUCUAGCAAGACCUGUUGACAUCCAGAAUCCUAGCGCAUAUCUCAACAUCAAUGUUGUUGUCGGUUCUAUCCUUUAACUUAAGAUAUGUAGGGGAAGUUUUGGACGACCUCCAAAGUGUGUUAUCCUAUUUGUAUAUCACACCUGCGUAAGCCAAAAUUUGUUAGUCUGAAUAAUGUCCAAGGUAGCGGAAAACCUUGGAGAUUAUUAUUAUUUUUUUUUAUUCGUGAUGUACGGCAUGAUCAAAUUGGGCUUCAAUAAUGUGAAUACGGCCAGGCCGUUAUUCACUAAAAAAAUCUCCAUGGUUUUCCACUACCUGCUAAAUCUUUAGAUAAACUUUACUAUAGAUCCUUUAACCAAUAAUGUCUACGUUAUCAGUGUUUGUCAGGAUCUGAAUUAACUUAUAACAAAAGCUUCGGAUUAGUGGAUGAUUAGGAAAUUAGUCAUAAAUUAGAAUAUAAGUAUUUGAUAUUGAGAUAUGAAUAAAGUUUUGUCUCAACCUG